rnacentral:tRNA from 1 species
UGUAGCUCAAAUGGUGGAGUGCUUGCCUAGCAUGCAGGAGGUCCUGGGCUCAAGCCCCAGCA